UCAAAUAUGUCUCCAAAUUUGCUGUAAUAGGGAAGGAAAAGGAGAAACAAGGUAAUUCUUCCAUAUAUCUUGCAACAUAAAUGAAAUAUUCUCAUAUAUUUAAUAUAGAAGAACUGAAGGAAUCAAAUAUUUUAAAAUAACAGCCAAACUAAGAAAAAGUUGGAAAACCUAAUGCAACCAAAAAAUAAAUUAUGUAACAGUUUCCUUGGAGACACAGUACAGUAGUGAGAGUAUAUCAUGUUCUAAAUUCCAAUAUGAAACUUGACUUCCUUUUUACAUUGUCUUUGUCUCAGAUUUGAAGAUCUACAGAAUACAUCACAAUUAAAACAACUGAGACACACAAAAAUAAAUACAUAUAAAUAUGGAUGAGUGCAAGGGCCUUGGUGCAAUGGUAAGUUUGCUCAAUUGUGACCUACAGGUGACAGGUUCAUAUCACCAAACAACCUCUGACAGUGUAAGUGAAAAUGCUGUUUUCCUCUAAUCCUUCUUGGACCCCAAAAUGCACAAAGCCUUGAAAAAUGCAUUUUUACAUUGUGUGUAAAACAGUGUUAUUAAAGGCGCUCUGA
rnacentral:misc_RNA from 1 species